CAGCCGCCGCGGGAAAACCGAGGGUGCAAGCGUUAAUCGGAUUUACUGGGCGUAAAGGGCGCGUAGGUGGUUAUGUAAGUGAGAUGUGAAAUCCCCGGGCUCAACCUGGGAACUGCAUCUUAUACUGCGUAGCUGGAGUGCAGUAGAGGGUAGUGGAAUUUCCGGUGUAGCGGUGAAAUGCGUAGAUAUCGGAAGGAACACCAGUGGCGAAGGCGGCUACCUGGACUGACACUGACACUGAGGCGCGAAAGCGUGGGGAGCAAACAGGAUUAGAUACCCCGGUAGUCCCUGUCUCUUAUAA
rnacentral:rRNA from 1 species